rnacentral:rRNA from 1 species
CGACGUGGGUAACCUGCCUCAUACAGGGGGAUAACAGUUAGAAAUGACUGCUAAUACCGCAUAAGCGCACAGUGCUGCAUGGCACAGUGUGAAAAACUCCGGUGGUAUGAGAUGGACUCGCGUCUGAUUAGCUAGUUGGUGGGGUAACGGCCUACCAAAGCGACGAUCAGUAGCCGGCCUGAGAGGGUGAACGGCCACAUUGGGACUGAGACAUGGCCCAA